rnacentral:lncRNA from 1 species
AUUAGUUAAUUACAACACUAGGUACUUUAUUUUUCAUGUUAUUACACUCAUCAUUAUGAUAGUUACAGUAGCUAGCUAGUUAGCUUGUGUAUUGUACACAAGGGGACAUAUAACAUAGAUAUGCAUAUGAAAUGGAAGUUUACCUUAGUAAUGGUAAGGAGGAGGGGGAGAUGAAUAGGAGUCGUGGUGAACUGGUGGUGGUGGAGACUUGUACUUGUAAACGGGAGGAGGGGGAGGAGGAGACUUGUACUUGUAAGGCUUCUUUGGAGGUGGAGGAGGAGACUUGUACUUAUAAACUGGGGUAGGAGGGGGAGGAGACUUGUACUUGUAGGGCUUCUUUGGAGGGGGAGGAGGAGGAGACUUGUAAACAGGAGGAGGAGGAGAUUUGUAGACAGGAGGUGGAGGAGAAUGGUACUUGUAGGGUUUCUUGGGUGGUGGUGGUGGCGAUUUAUAGUGAUAGGGAGGAUGAUUAGGUGCUGGAUAUUUCUUAGGAGGUGGUGGUGGUGACUUGUAGUGGUAUGGAGGAGGUGGUGGUGAUGAGUAAACCGGUGGAGGGGGCGGUGGUGAGUAAACUGGUGGCGGAGGAGAAUAAACAGGAGGAGGAGGUGGAGGCGAGUAAACCGGGGGAGGAGGUGGCGGAGAUUUAUACUUGUAGGGAGGUGGUGGGGAGGAGUAAUGGUGGAAGUUGGCAGUGCAUUGUGAAGGAAAUGUAAGAGAGAGUGCUACCACUAAAAGAUAAGUGGAAAACACUAAGGCCUUUGAAGACCCCAUUUUCUUUGCCUGUG